AAACGCUUGAAGUCAGUCGCGUCCGCCGGGACUCAGCCUUGCUUUUGCUUGGUGCACUUCUCGGUGGAUGGGCCAGCAUCGAUUUUGAUCGCCGGAGAAGGGCGGGAGGAAUGUGGCAGCUUGCUGUGUUAUAGCCUCUUGUCGUACACGGUGGUUGGGAUCGAGGAUUGCAGCACGCCUUUGGUCGGGGUUCGCCCACGCCACGUGCUUAGGAUGCUGGCGUAAUGGCUUUAAACGA
rnacentral:rRNA from 1 species